rnacentral:rRNA from 1 species
AUUGAACGCUGGCGGCAGGCCUAACACAUGCAAGUCGAACGGUAACAGGAAACAGCUUGCUGUUUCGCUGACGAGUGGCGGACGGGUGAGUAAUGUCUGGGAAACUGCCUGAUGGAGGGGGAUAACUACUGGAAACGGUAGCUAAUACCGCAUAACGUCGCAAGACCAAAGAGGGGGACCCUCGGGCCUCUUGCCAUCGGAUGUGCCCAGAUGGGAUUAGCUUGUUGGUGGGGUAACGGCUCACCAAGGCGACGAUCCCUAGCUGGUCUGAGAGGAUGACCAGCCACACUGGAACUGAGACACGGUCCAGACUCCUACGGGAGGCAGCAGUGGGGAAUAUUGCACAAUGGGCGCAAGCCUGAUGCAGCCAUGCCGCGUGUAUGAAGAAGGCCUUCGGGUUGUAAAGUACUUUCAGCGGGGAGGAAGGGAGUAAAGUUAAUACCUUUGCUCAUUGACGUUACCCGCACAAGAAGCACCGGCUAACUCCGUG